GGCCUAGGGGAGAAGUGGCAGGGCCAAGCGGGAGCCCCCAGGACCUCAGACACGGCAGGCUGGACCCAGGCCCCUGAGCCCAGACUGCACCUGGGGGUGGAAGGAGAACAGGAGAACAGACCAGAUCCUGCUCGGACCCUGGGCCUCCCAUCCCUGCAGCCUGAGCCAAGCCCCACAGCGUCCGGGCAGCCUCAGGAUUGUCCGGGCAGCCUCAGGAUUGUCCGGCCCAGGACCUUUCCAGCGUUUAUUAGGACCAAGCGCUCCCCUCCAGGGGAGGCCAGCAGCACAGCCAGCAGAAGUGGGCACUUCCGGGAUGCCCAGUGCCCGGCCACCUCCAGCCCUGCACACGGUGUGGGAGACCGGUGCCUGCCUGGGCCAUGCUGUCCCCCACGCCUGGGAAGGCCCCUCGAGGGACGGCGGGCUCGGCUGGGGGCCUGGUGCUCCAGAGACAGCGCGAGGGCCUUGGUGGCAUCGGCCCCAAGCGUCACUUCAAGCAGAAGGAGGAGCCUGGCUGGGGGCACGGCCUUGGCCACCCCUCCCCUCCGGUACCCAGUGUAGGUCACAAUAACUUAAAAGACACUAUAGACAUCUGGACGCUAUAUAACAGCAUAAGUUACCCGGGCUCCUCCGCGGAGGACGCCGGCCUGUGGACUCGGGGUGUCCCGGGACUGGGGUGAGGCAGGGCCAGGGUGGGGAGGGGCAUUCACAGCAGCCCAGAGGGUGGGUGUCCUGGCAUCGUCAGACCUGUGGGCUGGACGCAGGGCACCCAGACGGGGUCACCUGCCCCAGGCCAAUGUUCAGGCCCAGGGGCACACGGAGGGCACAGAGAGCAGGGGUAGGGUGGUGGCUUCGAGCCAUUCGCUGGCUUUGGGCAGGUCCCACCCUCAAGGCCUGUCUCCUCGGGAACAGAGUGGGAGCCCUGCAAGGAUGGCCCAGGCCUGAGCCCAGCUUCCCGUUCCAUCCCGUCUUCAAGGUUUUAGGGGAAUUGCCUGGGAGGAGAGGGUUCGCACAACCUGGGGAGACGUCCGGAGAGCAAGUGUCCCCAGAUGGCAGUGGGGACCCUGACAGUUGCCCCUAGCCCUGCCUGCCAGUUUUUCCAACACUGGGUUGGCGCAGAAGGACAAGGUCAGGGCUCUGGGAACCCUCAAAGGCACUGUGAGGGUGUUCGUCCCCUGAGGCAGUGGCCAGGAAGAGAGCAGCUGGGUCUCUUGGGGGGGGGGGCGCUGCUGGACAUCCUGGGUGGGGACUAAGGCAGGAGCACCCACUCGCAACUGAAGGGUCUCUGGCAAGUCCCGGCUCAGUCCCCUCUGGGCUUCAGCGUCCCCAUCUGUCAGGUGGGACCAGCAUUCGGGGCCACUCCCCGCCCCAGCCCUGCCGUCCUGGGGGUCAGGCUGGCUCCAGGGUGGGAGGACUCUGUAAACUUCAGGUGCCAGGCCAGUGGCUGGCCAGGAGUGUGAAGGACUAGGGAGGGGACCGGGCACUCCUGGAACCUGGCACAAGUGACAUUUUGAUUUUUGUGACAUGAUUUCCCAAAAGAAAGGGGAAGCCGGGCUGUGCUCCGAGGUUCUCUCCUGCUAACCCCUGGCACCUGGGACCUGCCGGCGGGUGGGGGGCAGGGGAGGCCAGCGAGGGGGAUCAGGGGGCCGGGUGGACACGGAGUGUGAAGUUAGGACUGGCUACGCAUUUGUUAGUGCCGAGAGCCCUCUCCCGAUGCUAAGAGAGGCAUAAAUAACAUUGUCAGUCUCCCACGUCCACACUGCCCUGGGGCUUCGAGUGUGACAGACUAGAACGCCCUUUCUGUGUCCAGCCACCGGGCAGGGAGGGGACCCUCAGGGUCUGGUCGCAACUCUGUGGUCUGGGGGCACGCUUGCAACCUCAAGGUUCGCUGUUGGUUCCCCGCUGGGACCCCAGGACCCACGACCUUGGGCGCCGGGUGGAUCUCGGGCAGGGUGCUGCCGGGAGGUGCCCCUCACUUGCAGGUGAAGACUUCGGUGCGCUCGCUGCAGGUGCUGCACUUGACAUAGCAGCACCAGUGGAACUUGCAGUUGCACUGCCAGACCCUCGUGUACUGGUGCGUGUUGUAGCCGCGGCCACAGCACAUGGCGUCACAGCCAUCCGCGCCUCAGCGAGGUGCGGUUGCACAGUCGGCCCCUGCGUGCCCACGCUGCCCGUCGCCACGUCCUCCUCGCAGUAGUUGGGCGACUUCUCGAUGUACACCAGGUCCGUCUCCAUGGGCUUCUGGUAGCUGCGCAGCUGCUUGAUGCGUAGGGAAGGUGGGCUGCCGCAGGCGGCUGGCCCGGACCGCCUCCACCUGCACGGCUGCGUUGUAUUUCUCCUUCAGCAGGUGGCCCACCUCUCGGAACUUGGGCAGCGUGGUCCAGCACGUCUUGGUGGUGCACGAGCCUGACACCCCAUGACACUUGCACUCCAGCUUCAUGCGGUCCUCCAGAACCUGUGGGCGACACAGCUUUGCUCAGGGGAGCGGGGCAUGGGCACCCUCUGGGGUCCCCCUGCCUCCCCCCGGCUGGCCCUGAAGUGGCUCCUCCUCUUCGGCUGAGUGACCACGGACAAGUAUUAGGGUCUCCAGGAUCUUGAGGACGUGAUGGAGCUUGGUGUGUGUUUAGCAACUGUACUCAGCGUGAUCAAAACAUACGGUGAAUGUUUAAAUUUUAAAUGAUUUAUUCCAAUAAAGACACGUUGCUACCAGUCCUCUGCAGUGUUCUCCCUCUUGUGUCAACACACUUAGCCCAUUGUUCUUGCCUCUUUCAGAAGCCUUUCUGGAAGUCCUCUUUCCUGUGUGUCUUUAUGAGAUGUGAUUAAAAAAUACAGUCAGCACUGCAGCCAAGUACCACCCGGGAAAGGCAGGCUCCUAAAAGACACGAAAGUGUGACCUCACCCACCUUAUUCACCGGGUCUGAUACCUGCAACUUCUGGCUCUUCCCCAAAGUCAAAAUGACCAUAAAAGGGAAAUGUUUUUCAUCCAUUCAGGACAUGGAGGCAGCCAUGACAGUGCAGCUAAAGACACUCAGGAGAGAGGACUCCAGAACUGCUACAGAAAGUGGCAAGGACGAUGGGAUGAGUGUGCUCAAAGUAAGGGGGCAUGUUUUGAAGGAGAUUCAUGGCAAUGUGCUUUUUACUGUAAUAAAUUUUUAAAAACUUCUUUUAACCAUUCACAGCUGUGUACAGAGCUCAGCACUAUGUCAGCACCUUGACAAGAAAACUGAGGCUUGGAAGCUCUAAGCUUGCUACAAGUUCAGGGGCAGCGGUGGGGGGAACC
rnacentral:lncRNA from 1 species